rnacentral:rRNA from 1 species
GACGACGCUGGCGGCGUGCCUAAUACAUGCAAGUCGAACGAGUGGCGGACGGGUGAGUAAUGUCUGGGAAACUGCCUGAUGGAGGGGGAUAACUACUGGAAACGGUAGCUAAUACCGCAUACCAUCGGAUGUGCCCAGAUGGGAUUUGCGUUUAGGUGGGGUAAAGGCUCACCUAGGGGACGAUCCCUAGCUGGUCUGAGGGGAUGACCGGCAACACUGGAACUGAGACAAGGGCCAGACUCCGACGGGAGGCAGCAGUGGGGAAUAUUGCACAAGGGGCGAAAGCCUGAUGCAGCCAUGCGGCGUGUAUGAAGAAGGCCUUCGGGUUGUAAAGUACGUGGAGCGGGGAGGCGUUACCCGCAGAAGAAGCACCGGCUAACUCCGUGCCAGCAGCCGCGGUAAUUC